GCUCCCCAGCCUCGCCCCACUCUGCCCCUCCCCCCACAAACAUCCUCCCCUGAGCUACUCCUUCUGGGGAACUGCAGCAGGGAUCCAGCCCGCCCUUCACUCACGGGGCGGCAGGAAGUGGAGCAACCUGGUCCCAACCUGCUCUGUUCCGCUCCGCAGGCUCCCAGACGCACCGUUGGCUCUUCUCUACCAUGUGACGUUACAGCGAACAUGUCUGUCAGGCAGAGCCCGACGCAGACAGAGAUCUAUCUACCAUGGUCUGCAGCUGUUUCUCUGGAGUUCGAGUCCCCUAAAGACUUCAAGUUUCACAUUACCGGUGGCAGGCGCCGACUCUGGGUGCUUCGAGACUGGAGGAUCCACGAAAAAAAAUAAUGGAGAGAAGAAAGAAAGAUCAUCAAUAACAGACAACAACUGCCUACUCAGGAAAGAACACUUUAACUCAUCCUCGUAGUUAGCGAGACCAAUCACUUUGAAAACAUCCACCCACGGCUAUAGUCUAACGUCUAAAGCGCCUAUAUUUCGUGGUUACAGUGUGUAAUUUAAUACAUCAAAUCUAACUAUGAUCACAGAGACAGUGAGACUGACAAACAGUACACUGUGUGCAUGUCUCAUUGUAGCACCUAAAAUAUAUGAAAAAAAUAUUAAUGCCCUCUUUAGCUUCUGUUACAAAUAAACGUUUUCCCGAAUUUCACCAAUCACUUCUUCUAAUUAACAGAGGAACACCGCUUCAGCCAAUCAGAUAUUUCUUCCAUAGCUCAUACAUAGAGGCGGGACUACAACUGGAACUGGCUACGUAGGAAGGACGCAUCGGAACAGUUACGCAAAAGCAGCACGCAUUGCAAGAGACGAAGGUGCUGACGUGCUUCAGAAGCGAUGUAGACAGUAAGCAAUCCGCUCUUAAAGCAAUGACGUCUGUUCCCCAGAGAUUCCUGUUAGUCUCUCCUCCCAUUAGGUACUGUUUUCUUAACAUUGGCCCGUCUGCUUACCACCCCGCACUCCGAAUUCACUGGCAAUAAUAGACCAUAUAUUAUCAACUUGGUGGUUUGCUUUUCGAGCCUCUCUACCUUUGCCGUUAAGGCGGAUCUACACAUGUCUACAGUUAUGUUUCUCAAGUUCACGGAAGCCACUAAAACUGGUAUUGGGGUGAAUAAACUCCGUUUUUCCCCUAUGCAACUCUCUUCCUAGUUCAAGAGCUGUACACUAUUUGGAUACGGUACGACUGUAAACAUCCAGUAUUAGGAACGUCACAUUUUGGAUAGAAAAUAUAGCAGCAAUGUUUUUAUAUAUAUAUAUAAUUGCAAAAAUAAAGAGAUGUCAAGUAUUAGAA